CAACCAUAUAUUUAAAUAUACAGUCUCCCUUGGUACCUGCAGGGGUUGGUUGGUUUUAGGAGCCCCACACCCUGCCAACAGAUACCCAAAUCUGAGGAUGCUCAAAUGUCAUAUGACAUGACAUAGUACUUGCUCAUUCUCAAAUGACUUACAAUACCUAUAUGCAGUGUCAAUCUGUGUUGGAUUUAAUCCCCAGAUAUAGAACCCAGAGAUAGGGAGGGCAAACUUUAUAGUAAGUAUAAAAUGACCAUAUAUGGUAAAUAUAUUUUUAUAUAUGUUAUAAAUUAAAUAUGUUAUAUACAAAAAUUAAGUACUAGCUGCAGAUAAGUGCAUAAACAGAUAACUAAUGUUCAGGGCAGGAACCCUAUGGAGCAUUUUAAGGAUCCUUUAAAUAAAGUUAGCAAAAAAUAACUUUUAUUUUGUCAACCUAAUUAUAUAGCCCAUACCAAUGAACUUAAGAGUUUUAUCUAGGCAGUAUACAGUUGAUGAUAGGUAUAUUUUCUUACUAUUUGUUUGCCUGCAUAUUCCAUUCUUACAGUUUGAACCAUGAAAGCUUCCCUUAAAUUUACUAUUUUAUUCUAAAACACACAACAAAUGUCUUCCAGCCUUUUAAGCACUAUCUGAUAGUAUAAUUCAUUACACAUGCAGAUCAGAUAAUAGAAACCUUGUUAGUCCUCUUGGACAUGAUGGUACAUGCCUGUAAUCACAGCUACUGGGAGCUAUGACAGGAAGAUUGCAAGUUUGAGGCCAGCCUUGGCAUUUUAGUGAGAUCCUGUUUCAAAAUUUUAAAAGGGGCUGGGGAUGUAGCACUGGUAAAGCACCUCUGGGUUAAAUCCCCAGCACUUAAAAAAAAAAAAAGGGAAGAAGAAAAAAAGAAACCUUGCUGAAAUUUGUGGAAGUGUUCAAUUGUUCAUAAUUACCAAUAGUCCCCUAUUUUUUUCAGUGCUGGGGAUAGAACCCAUGAUCUUACAUAUGCUGGGCUACACUUUAAUUUUAAUAACUGCUAUAAGUACAUUUCUUUUUUAAAUAUAUUUUUAGUUGUUGACAGAUCUUUAUUUUAUCUAUCUAUCUAUCUAUCUGUCUAUUUAUUUAUUUAUAUGCAGUGCUGAGAGUCGAACCCAGUGCCUCACACAUGCUAGGCAAGCUCUACACUGAGCCACAACCCCAGCCCUAUAAAUACAUUUCUUACAACAUCAAAACUGAGAAGAUCAAGUAAAGUAGAAUGCAGUUUGUAAUGUGCAUUUGGUGAUAUUUGUGUACUAGUAUUAUUUACUUUUGUCAAAUACAGAAGAUAUAGGUGGUACUAGGAAACUGUCUUCUGAUUUCAGCUAAUUUUUUAAAAAGUGGUGUAACAAUUUCAUGUUCAUUUCUUUAGUUUUGGUUAAUUCUCUUGUCUCAGAAAAGAGUUGGAUAAAUAAUGAUACUUUGCAUUUCUUACACAUAACACUCUUUUAAGCUUAAACAUUUUUAUCUGUUCAUACCAUUCAAAAGAAGGUAAGAUUUGUGAUGUGCGCCAACAAAAGUUCCUUCAGUUUCUUUAGAAAGAAUAAGAAAGGCUUCCUUGAACAUUCUAAAUGAAAGUUUUCUUUGUUUUGUUGCAUUUGUGGAUUUGUUGAAUAAAUACGUGAGAGGGGAGAUUAAUGUAC
rnacentral:lncRNA from 1 species